rnacentral:tRNA from 1 species
UCCCCGAUAGCUCAAUGGUAGAGCACCCGGCUGUUAACCGGGGGGUUGCUGGUUCGAGUCCAGCUCGGGGAG